CCAAAAGUCAAGACUGAACUUGGCCCAGGAGAAAGGAGCAGGCAUCACCUACUGAUAAGAGUUUUACCGCUGACUUCAAUGGAAGCAGAGUGAGGUGCAAGUUGCCAGUUCUGAUCACAGGAGUGAAAAGCAGAAUCUGUUCCUGUCAACGUGAAGAUGCGCAAGGAGUGGGGAAAAGUGAUUUGCAAACACAUCUGUGAGUUCUGAAGCAUGAUUCGGUAUAAUCCAGGAAGACAAGGGAAUCCAGCACCUUCUGUGGAAGGGCCUGACUGAGAGAAAGUCCUCCAUGGCUGGGAAGAAGAAUGACUGGUGAGAGAAACCAUCUUGAGCAAAACCAGUACUUGCUAGAUUAAGUUCUAGACUUUUAGAUACCUGUUUUCACUUUGAUUUGCUUGCAACCACCUUUACUUUUAUUCUUUACUUGGCAUCACUUAACCUAUGUCCAAUUGUUAAAUUUGUUUUAGUUUCACUAGAAACCAACU